AUUGAACGCCGGCGGCAGGCCUAACACAUGCAAGUCGAACGGUAGCACAGAGAGCUUGCUCUCGGGUGACGAGUGGCGGACGGGUGAGUAAUGUCUGGGAAACUGCCUGAUGGAGGGGGAUAACUACUGGAAACGGUAGCUAAUACCGCAUAAUGUCGCAAGACCAAAGAGGGGGACCUUCGGGCCUCUUGCCAUCGGAUGUGCCCAGAUGGGAUUAGCUAGUAGGUGGGGUAACGGCUCACCUAGGCGACGAUCCCUAGCUGGUCUGAGAGGAUGACCAGCCACACUGGAACUGAGACACGGUCCAGACUCCUACGGGAGGCAGCAGUGGGGAAUAUUGCACAAUGGGCGCAAGCCUGAUGCAGCCAUGCCGCGUGUAUGAAGAAGGCCUUCGGGUUGUAAAGUACUUUCAGCGGGGAGGAAGGGGUUGAGUUUAAUACGCUCAAUCAUUGACGUUACCCGCAGAAGAAGCACCGGCUAACUCCGUGCCAGCCGCCGCGGUAAUAC
rnacentral:rRNA from 1 species